UUGAGUGAGAAUGAGGUUCUAGGUACACAGGUUCAUUCAGGCCAUACUUAAGGUCGAGUGAAGGGAAUGUUUAAAUAUAUACAGCCAAUAAUCAUACAAAUCAAUCAUAUUGUCACUUCAAUCUUAAUUUUCAGCACGAGAAUAAAGAUAAAAAGGUAUAGAAACUAUAAAAAAAAAAGGACAACUGUCUUUUUCCUCCUUUUUUUUGGGGGGGGGGGGGUUGGGGUGGGAGGGGAUUGCUGCUGGAGGUUGAGUGAGAAUGAGGUUCCACGAACACAGGUUAAUUCAGGCCAUACUUAAAGCUGAGUGAAGGGAAUGUCCAAAUAUAUGCAGCCAAUAUUCAUACAAAUCAACCAUAUUGUCACUUCAGUCUGAAUUUUCAGCCCUUUCAUUGCACCAACUUCAUCAGUUCUCCAAAUUCUCUUAGCCAGCCGGCAACUCUUACAAGAGAUUAGUCUGGCAACUCUUAAUUAGAAAAAGAAUAAUGGAAAUUAUAUUAUAUAUUGGCUACCUCUUUUAUGUCUAACCUAGCCCCCAAAUUGAACAUGAGAAUAGCACAGUAUGGGCAAUAGAAGGAUGGCUAGUAAGCUCAAGAUCAAAUGAUCAGGGGUCAGCACAGUGCACUAAUCACGUCAUACUGUACCAAUAUACGCAAUGACAUGGAAAGACAAACCAAUAUGUAAAAAGAGCUG
rnacentral:lncRNA from 1 species